rnacentral:rRNA from 1 species
GAUGAACGCUGGCGGCGUGCCUAAUACAUGCAAGUCGAGCGAACGGACGAGAAGCUUGCUUCUCUGAUGUUAGCGGCGGACGGGUGAGUAACACGUGGAUAACCUACCUAUAAGACUGGGAUAACUUCGGGAAACCGGAGCUAAUACCGGAUAAUAUUUUGAACCGCAUGGUUCAAAAGUGAAAGACGGUCUUGCUGUCACUUAUAGAUGGAUCCGCGCUGCAUUAGCUAGUUGGUAAGGUAACGGCUUACCAAGGCAACGAUGCAUAGCCGACCUGAGAGGGUGAUCGGCCACACCGGAACUGAGACACGGUCCAGACUCCUACGGGAGGCAGCAGUAGGGAAUCUUCCGCAAUGGGCGAAAGCCUGACGGAGCAACGCCGCGUGAGUGAUGAAGGUCUUCGGAUCGUAAAACUCUGUUAUUAGGGAAGAACAGAUGUGUAAGUAAAUGUGCACAUCUUGACGGUACCUAAUCAGAAAGCCACGGCUAACUACGUG